GAUGGAGAACGCAGCAAAAUGCGAUACUUGGUGUGAAUUGCAGAAUCCCGUGAACCAUCGAGUUUUUGAACGCAAGUUGCGCCCGAAGCCUUUUGGCCGAGGGCACGUCUGCCUGGGCGUCACACAUCGCGUCGCCCCCCACAACUCUCCGUAAAGGGAACUUGUGUUUUGGGGGCGGAUAUUGGUCUCCCGUGCUCAUGGCGUGGUUGGCCGAAAUAGGAGUCCCUCCGGUGGACGCACGAACUAGUGGUGGUCGUAAAAACCCUCGUCUUUUGUUUCGUGCCGUUAGUCGCGAGGGAAACUCUUUAAAAACCCAAAUGUGUCGUCUCUUGACGGCGCUUCGACCGCGACCCCAGGUCAGGCGGGACUACCCGCUGAGUUUAAGCAUAUCAAUAAGCGGAGGA
rnacentral:misc_RNA from 1 species